UAAAAUUUAUAAAAUUAGGUAGUAAAGAAUUUUCUGAAACCUAAAGAAUUUGGCGGUAUUUUAAAUAAUUGGAGGAACCUGUUAUUUAAUUGACAUUCCACAACAUAUCUUACCUAAAUUUUAUUUGUAUAUCGUCGUUUUGAUAAUAUUCAAAAAUUAUUAUCGACUUUAAUAAAUUUUUUAAAAUCAGAUCAAGGUGCAGUAUAUUUAGGGUAUAAUGGGUUACAAUAUAAAGAUAUAUUACGAAUAUUAAAAUAAAUUUACAUUGAAGGUGGAUUCAAAAGUAAGGUUAAUUUAAAAUGUUAAUCUGAUUAAUAAUUUAAAAUAUGC
rnacentral:rRNA from 1 species